rnacentral:rRNA from 1 species
ACUGGCUCAGGAUGAACGCUAGCGACAGGCCUAACACAUGCAAGUCAGGGGCAGCACAAGGAGCAAUCUGAGGUGGCGACCGGCGCACGGGUGAGUAACACGUAUGCAACCUGCCUGUAAGCGGGGAAUAACCCGUUGAAAGACGGACUAAUACCGCAUAAUACUAAAUUACUGCAUGGUAAUUUAUUUAAACAUUUAUGGCUUACAGAUGGGCAUGCGCAUGAUUAGCUAGUUGGAGAGGUAACGGCUCCCCAAGGCAACGAUCAUUAGGGGUUCUGAGAGGAAGGUCCCCCCACGCUGGUACUGAGACACGGACCAGACUCCUACGGGAGGCAGCAGUGAGGAAUAUUGGUCAAUGGACGAGAGUCUGAACCAGCCAAGUCGCGUGCAGGAAGAAAAUGUCCUAUGGAUUGUAAACUGCUUUUGCAGGGGAAUAAAGUGCAUCACGUGUGAUGUUUUGUAUGUACUCUGCGAAUAAGGAUCGGCUAACUCCGUGCCAGCCGCCGC